UUAUUUUUGUUAGUGAAAGUAGCAGUGAUGCUAUCAGUAAAACGUCUCGCUGCUCACUUUGUCUGGAAGAGCGCCAACAUUCUACAGCAACGCCGUGUGGCCACCUAUUCUGCUGGAAGUGUAUUAUGGAGUGGUGUUUAACUAAGCCUGAGUGUCCUUUAUGCAGAGAUGAAGUUCAACAACAAAAUCUGGUUGCUUUAAAGAAUUAUUGCUGAACUUACGAACAUAUGAUUGGUUAAAGACACAGUUUAAAUAUAUAUUUGAUUGGUUAAGGCUACACAAUUUGUAAAAUCUGAUUGGUUGAAGCUGCAUAACACUGCUUAGUAAAAUCUAAUUGGUUUAUCCUACGGUACAUGACACAUCUUUUUGAACUCUGAUUUGUCUAAGGUUGCAGGCACAACUUUAAUAUAAUUGGGUAAAUGGUAAGCAUAUUGGAUAUGUAAAAAUUAAUAUGUAUAGUUUUUGAGACUGAUGUAUUGAAGAAAGCAACAUCCAUUUUUAAUAAAUAAGCAAAUUUAGAAAGCA